CAGUUUUACGAAACAAGCAAAAUUAUGUACGUCCAGAACUCGAGAACAACUUUCCAAUUUCCAGGGUAUAUUGUAUGGAACACGUAAGGGGAGAAAAAUGAAAUACUGCACAAAUUUCUAAAUGUAAAACUGAAUGGAAUAAAGGAAGAACAUGCAUAAAGUAAACAGGAAUGUAAAGGCUGAGAAUUGUUUUAGAUUCAGGGCUUUUCAUCAGGAAAUUGGGAAGAGGCCUUGGCCUUUCAAAGUGGGAUAUUUAUGCGCGGUAAUUGUUCAUUUUGGGAAAAAUUAUCAACCGGAAGUAAACAUCGAAAGAUGAAGCAAAUUUAUCUCCCCUGAAACUUGGACAAAAACUAGGCCAUGGAACAUAAUGUAUUACACUGGCAAUGUGUCACAACUGGUUCUGUGGACUGUUAGGCUAUAGUGCGACAAAAAUAGAUACCAGACAAACACUUCCUCUGGAAAUACUAAAAUGUAAACAAAAUCUUAACCAUCUGUUGCAUGAUUUGGGGAAGUAUUACCUUGCAUUUUGGGAAAUAUCUCUGCCUCAGUUUGGAAAAAAUAGUAUAUUUCUGGAUUGGGAAGAGGCCUUUUAUAGGCCUCUGUUAUAUAAGGAUGAAAAGCCCUGAGAUUGAACAGAAUAUUGUGCGAAGAAACUGGAUGCGAAUAAUAAGCAACCCUCUCUAUUGACUGUUAUAUUUAUUUUUUCCUUGUUAAUUUUUUUUUCCAGUUUGUACCAACAUUGACAGCCCUGAUCUUAGAAGAUCAUGCUUAUGUAAGUUCUUUUUAUUAAAAUACUCUUUUUUAGCUCACCUGUCACUACUUACCGGUAAUUGAGAUAUUUCACUUAUGUAACAUGCUUGUAAAAAUUGCGGGGUUCAAGUCUUGGACUGACUAUACAUUUUUAUCACCCUUUGGGAUUUGAUGCCCAAUUUGGUGCAUUUGCAUGCUUGCUUGGUCAGUUUUACGAAAUAAGCAGUAUUAUGUACGUCAAGAAAUCGAGAACAAUUUUCCAAUUUCCGGGGUAUAUUGUAUGGAACAGACUAAGUCACGUAAGGGGAGAAAAAUGAAAUACUGCACAAAUUUCUAAAUGUAAAACUGAACGGAAUAAAGGAAGAACAUACAUAAAGUAAACCGGAAUGUAAAUGCUUAGAAUUGUUUUAGAUUGAACAGAAUAUUGUGUGAAAAAACUGGAUGCGAAUAAUAAGCAACCCUCUCUAUUGACUGUUAUAUUUGUUUUUUCCAUGUUAUUUUUUUUUUCCAGUUUGUACCAACAUUGACAGCCCUGAAGUUAGAAGACCAUGCUUAUGUAAGUUUUUUUUAUUAAAUUACUCUUUUUAUGUUUUUUGUGAGCUAACAGUUGUGCUAUUGUUUUACCUUUGUAGAGGCUUAAACAUUCUUCUAUUACUAUUAUAGUAUCUCUGCAACUAUUUACCGGUAUUUGGGAUAUUUCACUUAUGUAACAUGCUUGUAAAAAUUGCUACAGGUCAAUUGAUGUUGUGAAGUUGAUAACUACACUUUUUACUUUUACAAUAUUCUACCUGCAAUACCAUAAGAAUUUUCCAAUCAUUUCCACUUUCCGAAUAACAUAUUUAUACAGAAAUAGUAAUUUACUGUAUGCAGUACUUUUAAGGAAGCAUUUGAUAGUUUUGUCCAUUGUCCACUCAGUACAUUAAAUCAGCUUUAUAAUUUCAUAUCAAUUGAUAAAUUAAAAUAAAUUGUAUGAAUUGAUGUUAUUCCGUAAAGUUUGUCAAAAAACUGCUAACACAUAGAAGUACCUGUACCUUUACAACUAUAACAAUAAACAUAUAUGAUGAUAAAUUGAUAAAGUUACAGAGCAUACAUGUGGAGGAAAUAACGCCUCAUCAGUUUGCAGAGGAAACCGGCAAUUUGACUGGAAUUAUGACCAACCACACAUAUACAGAACCAGAAUAUCAUAUUUCUUUCCAACAGCACCAAAGGACAACAGACAGAUUGAAGAUAGAAAUGAUGAGGUAUUUUUAUGCAUUCUAUGAUGACGACGACCAAAGAUACAUAUAAUGUUUUAACUGUCCCUUGUGUUUCACAAGUCACUAAGUUUUCAUACGUGUUCAAGAGAAGGUUCAUUUUUAGCUCGACUAUUCGAAGAAUAAGUAGAGCUAUCCUACUCACCACAGCGUCGGUGUCACACCCUGGUUAAGUUUUUCGUACCAGUCCACAUUUUGACAAAGUCUUUUGAGAUGAAGCUUUGAAACUUUCAACACUUGUUUACCAUCACCAUGUCCAGUUAUAGGCAAGAGUACAUAACUCUGUUAAGCAUUUUGACUGAAUUAUAGCCCCUUUUGACUUAGAAAUCUUGGUUAAGUUUUUCGUACCAGUUCAUAUUUUGGCAAAGUCUUUUGAGAUAAAGCUUUGAAGCUUUCAACUCUUGUUUACCAUCACCAUGUUCAGUUGUAGGCAAGAGUACAUAACUCCAUCAAGCAUUUUGGUUGAAUUAUUGCCCCUUUUUGACUUAGAAAUCUUGGUUAAGUUUUUCGUACCAGUCUACAUUUUGACAAAGUCUUUUGAGAUAAAGCUUUGAAACUUUCAACUCUUGUUUACCAUCACCAUGUCCAGUUGUAGGCAAGAGUACAUAACUCCAUCAAGCAUUUUAGUUGAAUUAUUGCCCCUUUUUGACUUAGAAAUCUUGGUUAAGUUUUUCGUACCAGUCUACAUUUUGACAAAGUCUUUUGAGAUAAAGCUUUGAAAC